rnacentral:rRNA from 1 species
GACGAACGCUGGCGGCGUGCUUAACACAUGCAAGUCGAACGGAAAGGCCCUGCUUUUUUUGGGUGCUCGAGUGGCGAACGUGUGAGUAACACGUUAGUAACCUGCCCUUUACUUUGGUAUAACUUCAGUAAACUGGUUCUAAUACCUGAUCUGAGCUCCUGCUGCAUGGUUUGGGUUUGAAAGUUUCGGCGUUUGGGGAUGUACUCGCGGCUUAUCAUCUUGUUGGUGGUGUAGUUGCUUACCAAGGCUUUGACGGGUAGCCGGCCUGAGAGGGUGACCGGCAACAUUGGGACUGAGAUACGGCCCAGACUGCUACGGGAGGCAGCAGUGGGGAAUAUUGCACAAUGGGCGGAAGCAUGAUGCAGCAACGCCGCGUGCGGGAUGACGGCCUUCGGGUUGUAAACCGCUUUCGCCUGUGACGAAGCGUGAGUGACGGUAAUGGGUAAAGAAGCACCGGCUAACUACGUG